rfam:Polaribacter sp. SA4-12 genome.
GUUUAGCCCUGAUUGAAACGGCAUCCUUUUUUAUUUUUCAUAAAAAAGAUAUAGUGGAAAGCAGGAAAUAGC